rnacentral:rRNA from 1 species
UACGGAGGGUGCAAGCGUUAUCCGGAUUCACUGGGUUUAAAGGGUGCGUAGGUGGACAGGUAAGUCAGUGGUGAAAUCCCCGAGCUUAACUCGGAAACUGCCGUUGAUACUAUCUGUCUUGAAUAUCGCGGAGGUAAGCGGAAUAUGUCAUGUAAGCGGUGAAAAUGCUUAGAUAUGACAUAGAACACCGAUUGCGAAGGCAGCUUACUACACGAUCAUUGACACUGAGGCACGAAAGCGUGGGGAGCAAACAGG